UACGGAGGGUGCAAGCGUUAUCCGGAAUCAUUGGGCGUAAAGCGUGCGCAGGCGGAAUGUUAAGUCAGAUGUUAAAGCCUACAGCUCAACUGUAGUUAUGUAUCUGAAACUGGCAAUCUAGAGUCUUGUAGAGGUAUGUGGAAUUCUGUGUGUAGGGGUAAAAUCCGUAGAUACACAGAGGAACAUCAAAAGCGAAGGCAGCAUACUGGGCAAGUACUGACGCUGUUGCACGAAAGCGUGGGUAGCGAACAGG
rnacentral:rRNA from 1 species